rnacentral:rRNA from 1 species
GCGGACAGAAGGGAGCUUGCUCCCGGAUGUUAGCGGCGGACGGGUGAGUAACACGUGGGUAACCUGCCUGUAAGACUGGGAUAACUCCGGGAAACCGGAGCUAAUACCGGAUAGUUCCUUGAACCGCAUGGUUCAAGGAUGAAAGACGGUUUCGGCUGUCACUUACAGAUGGACCCGCGGCGCAUUAGCUAGUUGGUGAGGUAACGGCUCACCAAGGCGACGAUGCGUAGCCGACCUGAGAGGGUGAUCGGCCACACUGGGACUGAGACACGGCCCAGACUCCUACGGGAGGCAGCAGUAGGGAAUCUUCCGCAAUGGACGAAAGUCUGACGGAGCAACGCCGCGUGAGUGAUGAAGGUUUUCGGAUCGUAAAGCUCUGUUGUUAGGGAAGAACAAGUGCAAGAGUAACUGCUUGCACCUUGACGGUACCUAACCAGAAAGCCACGGCUAACUACGUGCCAGCAGCCGCGGUAAUACGUAGGUGGCAAGCGUUGUCCGGAAUUAUUGGGCGUAAAGGGCUCGCAGGCGGUUUCUUAAGUCUGAUGUGAAAGCCCCCGGCUCAACCGGGGAGGGUCAUUGGAAACUGGGAAACUUGAGUGCAGAAGAGGAGAGUGGAAUUCCACGUGUAGCGGUGAAAUGCGUAGAGAUGUGGAGGAACACCAGUGGCGAAGGCGACUCUCUGGUCUGUAACUGACGCUGAGGAGCGAAAGCGUGGGGAGCGAACAGGAUUAGAUACCCUGGUAGUCCACGCCGUAAACGAUGAGUGCUAAGUGUUAGGGGGUUUCCGCCCCUUAGUGCUGCAGCUAACGCAUUAAG